rnacentral:rRNA from 1 species
UACGUAGGGAGCAAGCGUUGUCCGGAAUUAUUGGGCGUAAAGAGCUCGUAGGCGGUCUGUCACGUCGGCUGUGAAAACCCGAGGCUCAACCUCGGGCCUGCAGUCGAUACGGGCAAACUAGAGUACUGCAGGGGAGACUGGAAUUCCUGGUGUAGCGGUGAAAUGCGCAGAUAUCAGGAGGAACACCGGUGGCGAAGGCGGGUCUCUGGGCCGAUAUUGACGCUGAGGAGCGAAAGCGUGGGGAGCGAACAGG